GCAAUUGCCUCGCAGGGGUGAUGCCAUGACACGGAGACGUUUCCCCUGGGUGAGGCUUAUCCAUUGCAUUCUGCAUAUGCUGACCCCUGUGAUUUCCCCAAAUACAGAAAAUGAACUGCAUGACUUAUGGUAAGCUGGGACUUUGUUCAUGCUCUCCUC
rnacentral:snRNA from 1 species